GAUAGAGGCCUACCAUGGUGGUAACGGGUAACGGGGUGUUAGGGCACGACACCGGAGAGGGAGCUUGAGAAACGGCUACCACAUCCAAGGAUGGCAGCAGGCGCGCAAAUUACCCAAUCCCGACACGGGGAGGUAGUGACAAUAAAUAACAAUACGGGGUUCUUUCGGAUCUCGUAAUUGGAAUGAGUACAAUUUAAAUCUCUUAACGAGGAACAAUUGGAGGGCAAGUCUGGUGCCAGCAGCCGCGGUAAUUCCAGCUCCAAUAGCGUAUAUUAAAGUUGUUGCAGUUAAAAAGCUCGUAGUUGAAUUUCGGGGUUAGUAGGUUGGUCAUGCCUCUGGUAUGUACUGGUCUCACUGAUUCCUCCUUCCUUAUGAACCGUAAUGCCAUUAAUUUGGUGUUGCGGGGAAUUUGGACUGUUACUUUGAAAAAAUUAGAGUGUUUAAAGCAAGCUAACGCUUGAAUACAUUAGCAUGGAAUAAUGAAAUAGGACGUUCGAUCUUAUUUUGUUGGUUUCUAGGAUUGACGUAAUGAUUAAUAGGGAUAGUUGGGGGCAUUAGUAUUCAAUUGUCAGAGGUGAAAUUCUUGGAUUUAUUGAAGACUAACUACUGCGAAAGCAUUUGCCAAGGAUGUUUUCAUUAAUCAAGAACGAAAGUUAGGGGAUCGAAGACGAUCAGAUACCGUCGUAGUCUUAACCAUAAACUAUGCCGACUAGGGAUCGGAUG
rnacentral:rRNA from 1 species